rnacentral:misc_RNA from 1 species
AAGAAUUCGACCUCGCGGUCUUUUCUUCUCCCAAAGGCUGUGCGCUUUUGCUGCACGCUCGAGGGAUAAAACCUCACACACCCGUGCACACUUCGGUUGCGGACGUCCUAACGGUCGAACGCUUCCGCUUUUACAUACAACUACAAAAGUCCAGAAUGUCUAAUACCAUAAACAAUAA